GAUGAACGCUGGCGGCGUGCCUAAUACAUGCAAGUCAAACGGACGGUCGCAAGGCCGUAAGUGGCGAACGGGUGAGUAACGCGUUGGUGACCUGCCCUUUAGUGGGGGAUACCAGGCCGAAAGGCCUGCUAAUACCGCAUGAGAUCGAGGGAGAUUAGAAGCUCUCGAGGAAAGCCGUACGCUUCGUAAGAAGCGAUGGCGCUGAAGGAGGGGCCUGCGUCCCAUCAGCUAGUUGGUAAGGUAACGGCUUACCAAGGCGAUGACGGGUAGGGGACCUGAGAGGGUGGCCCCCCACAAUGGAACUGAAACACGGUCCAUACACCUACGGGUGGCAGCAGUAGGGGAUAUUGGUUAAUGGGCGAAAGCCUGAACCAGCAACGCCGCGUGUGCGAUGAAGGCCUUCGGGUUGUAAAGCACUUUUUGCCGGGAAGAGGAAGGACGGUACCGGUAAAAUAAGCCUCGGCUAACUACGUGCCAGCAGCCGCGGUAAAACGUAGGAGGCGAGCGUUAUCCGGAUUUACUGGGUGUAAAGCGCGUGCAGGCGGUUUGAUAAGUUGGGUGUGAAAGCUCCUGGCUCAACUGGGAGAGGUCGCUCAAGACUGUCAGACUAGAGCGUGGUAGAGGAAGGCGGAAUUCCGGGUGUAGUGGUGAAAUGCGUAGAUAUCCGGAGGAACACCAGUGGCGAAAGCGGCCUUCUGGACCACGACUGACGCUCAGACGCGAAAGCUAGGGUAGCAAACGGGAUUAGAGACCCCGGUAGUCCUAGCCGUAAACGAUGUGAACUUGGCGGUGGGUGGGUAAAACUAUUCACUGCCGUAGCUAACGCGAUAAGUUCACCACCUGGGGACUACGGCCGCAAGGUUAAAACUCAAAGGAAUUGACGGGGGCCCGCACAAGCGGUGGAGCAUGUUGUUUAAUACGUCACAAACCGUAGAACCUUACCAGGGCUUGACAUCCGGCGACCGGCCGUGAAAGCGGUCUUUCCCCGCAAGGGGACGCCGAGACAGGUGUUGCAUGGCUGUCGUCAGCUCGUGUCGUGAGAUGUUGGGUUAAGUCCCGCAACGAGCGCAACCCUCACCCCAUGUUGCCAGCGGCUCAGGCCGGGAACUCUUGGGGAACUGCCCGGGCAACCGGGAGGAAGGUGGGGAUGACGUCAAGUCAGCAUGGCCCUUACGCCCUGGGCUACAAACAUGCUACAAUGGACGGCAGACAGAGGGACCCGAGGCCGCGAGGUGGAGGCAAUCCCACAAAUCCGUUCUCAGUUCGGAUCGCAGUCUGCAACUCGACUGCGUGAAGUCGGAAUCGCUAGUAACCGCCGAUCAGCUAAGCGGCGGUGAAUACGUUCCCGGGCCU
rnacentral:rRNA from 1 species